AAACCCAAACGGGGAAUCCCCAAAUUCCUCAUUUGGGGAACGGGUUUUUUUUCAGAGAUUUUCCGAAUGAGCUUCGAGCCAGGAUCGGAGAAUUUCCUCGGGUUUUUGAGUGGUCUCCGUGCCGCCCCGGCCCGUGCCCAUCACUACCCUAAACAUUUGCUUACCUAAUAUUUCAUUAAGGCAAAAGUUUCCCACCCAUUUUUCAUUAAAGCAAAAGUUUUCCAUCCAUUUUUCAUUCUCUCUACCCUAAAUUAUUUUCCCCUUUUCAUUCUCUACAUCUCGCUAAGCUUUUCUCUUCGAUUUUUUGUUCUCACCUUAAAAUCCUUCUCCGAUCUUCUUCGUUCUCACCCGAUUAUAAGACAAGCUCUGGUCUUCGAGUCCGUGACUUCAGUCACUCACCAAUUCGUCAUUCUUCAAGCUCUUUUCAUUCAAAGUUAGGUACUGCUGUAAUUUUGUUUUACUGGGUGGAUUAGGGUAGGGGUUCGUAACUUCAGGAGAUACAUGCGAGUUUGGGGCAUCAAGAGACUUCUAACAUGAAACAUUAACCAAUUUUGAACAGCCAUAAAUCUUGAGCAGACAAGUUGCAACUACUCUUCGACAAGUAGAGAAGGAGAGAAAGAAAUGGAGGCAGUGGUAACAGCACAACAACUGGCGGCUCUUUGUGGGUCUCUUCGUAAAGCCUCCUUCAACUGCGACCUCAUUCACUCUGUUAUGUAGUUGGUGAAGGACUCCGUGAAAGGCAUAGAGAUAGAGCACAUUGACAUUGCACCAUUGCCAAUGCUCAACACUAAUCUCGAAGUUAAUGGAACUUACCCUCAUGUUGUGGAAGCGUUUCAUCAAAAGAUUCUUAAGGCUGAUUAUUAUCUCUUUGCUUCUCCUGAGUAUAAUUACUUUGUUUCUGGUACUCUCUUGAUACCCGUUUGCCUAUAUUAUUAUGUUUUGCAAUGAUUUAGUCUGUUGUGAAAUGGGAUUUUUAGGAAAAGUUCAUUUAGUUUAUGACUUGUUUGUUUAAAAUCCUGAGAUAGUUCUUGACUUAUAGGAGAUUCCAGCAUUAUGCAAAUUUAUGAAACCUAAAAUGGGUGCAUUCUGACAAAUACUGAGAAAGAUUUUGGUUUGUUUUCAGUAUUUUAUGACAUGUUUCUUUUUACUGAAGUUUGAAAGUAGUAGAGUAAGUUGGAUAGAAAUUUUCUAUAAUGAAAUUAAUUUUUUUAAAGUAUCAUGUGGAAGAACAAAGAUUAAACAAGAAAAGUAGAAUUGAGGGCAUAAGAUCUUUUACUGAACUGAAGACACAUUGUCGGUUCUAGUUGGAAGUUGCAAGUGAGUGGACAAGGUAUCAAAUUUGUGCCACUAGGACCAUAUCCGGAGUUGGGUUCUUUGUCAUCAUUUAUGGGGCCUUGUGGGUGAUAUUUUGAGUGUUCACAUGUAUGGAUGACUUGUAUUUCUUAAUUUGUAAUAGUACAUUGUGAGGAAAAUCACAAGGAUACCAUUGACCUUUAAUUGGGAAUCGUGUUGUCUUGGUAAUGAUUAUAACUCAAUGAGUUGGCUCAUAAGUUGAGUACCUUUAAUUCGUGAGUCACACAUGAUUGUUGAGUGGUGAAAAUGCAGAUUUAUUUGGUGAUUUGGAGGUGAAAUUGUAAGGAAUUCAAGAUUUAACGCAUUAUUUUGGAUGAGUUUCCUUAUUUGUUUUGUUAUCUUCCAGAAUCACGGGUUUUGUUGUGUUUUCAGGUGUUUAGAUGCAAAAAGAUGAAUUAUUCAUGCUUGUUUGGUGUUCGGACAUCCUAGACUCGUCAAGUGCAGAUAAAUCAAGGCGAGCGGAAAAAGUGAAGUUCUACAACCGAGUCGCAGCACACUUUCUGAGCCACGGCGUGAAGACGACGCAACUCAUAUUGCACCCCAGCAAAGAAUAAUUGCGCUGCAGCACAAAGUCGACGAAAUCCAAAUUAGCCGUGGCGUAAUUCAUCCACGCCACAACGUGAUAGGGUUUUUGUCGAAGGAAAAAUCGCUUCGAGCUAUGCUGCAACGCCAUUCAACUGCGUUGUGGCGCAAAUCAUGAUAUUUAGAAAAAAAACUCCGCAUUUUCCAGCCUAUUUUUGGCGACCCAUAUUUGCAAGUUGCUCUAGUAAAUGAUUGAUUUAUGUAUGUAAGAUGCCCUCGACAGGUUUAAGUUGGUUUGUGUUCGUUUUUGGUACUUUUGUGCAUAAUGGGUUUUUGUUAUUUAGACUAUGCUACACGCCACUAGCUAGUUUAGAUGAUUAAAACACUAGGUUGAUCCGGUUGGCCACGGCAUGACCUUACCUUGGUAAGUAUCGACCCUAAGAUUUGGAUCGAGAAACAUCAGUUAGAUUAAUAACAUAAAGUAUAAUAAUUAUGGUGAAGUUGGAUACAUUAGACCAUUUCUCAUUGUUUGAUCAUUUGUUUAGAUCUCAUUUUUAUCUUAGUUGUUAUUUUUAGUAUUUU